ensembl:lncRNA
AUAUGCUUAGAUCACAACACAGUCAGGCGCAUGACACCAGCUUUUAAAAAUGUGUCAUACGCAACUAAAGUGUGAAACAGACACUUACACACAUUGUCAGAAACUGCCACAGAAGAAGACAAUGUGUGUGUGUGUGUGUGUGUGUGUGUGUGUGUGUGUGUGUGUGUGUGUGUGUGUGUGUGAGAGAGAGAGAUUUUGUCUUAACAGGCUCAUUUCUUCCUGAUGGCUUUAAAUGAUUUCAUCACAAUUAAUGACACACACCGCGGCUCCCUGUGACUCGCUGGCAGAUGUUCAGGGACCUCGGAGUGUCUUCAUCUCUCUCUCAGAGCUAAAGAGGCACUUUCCUCCCGUGACAAACGAGGCCGUGCGCCUUGUCAGCGUCUGAUCCGUAACCCUCGACGCUCAAAGCGGUAAAUUAUCGACACAUCUGUUCAGACUUUGUUGAAAAAUGUAGCCACCUUUUAUCCUUUUUUCCUCCUCGUGCAUACUGAUGAUCUGCACUUUUUUCACCCUCAAGUUGUUCAGCGGCUUCGACGUCCUUCUGCGAAUGUAGCUUUUCUUUUCUUUCUCUUUUUUCUACAAAGGCAUUGAGAAUGUGAUCUGGUUUAUAGCUGAGUAAUUAUAGUUGUCCUGUCAGAAUUACAGUAAUUACAAGCUUGUAUAAAGGAUUUACAUUUAACUCUUUAUGUGUCGAUCAGACAUCCGGUUAUUUCCUCACAUCCGACGCAUGAUAUAUACAAUAAAUAUCAUUUAACUCUGAAGAAACGAACAUCUCCAAGUGCAGUCUCAUACUUAGGGGAAUUCUGAUAUGAUGUAAAUACGCUGUAAGAUCAUAACUACGCUUCGCUAUGAAUGACAUCAUCAUGUCUACUUACAGUUUUCAGAUAAAUUAAACACCACACAGUCCAGUGAUCCAGUUACAGUGUAAAACUGAAACUACUGAAUAUUAUUCAACCCUGGGAUUUGUUGAGCACUGGUAUCUCCAUAAACUUAACAUUCUUAAAUCAGGAUUUUGGGGGUUUUGUAGAAUGUUAGUGUUUGUUGGAUAAUGUUAGGGUUUGGUGGAUAGUGUUUGGGUUUGGUGUAGAAUGUUAGUGUUUGUUGGACAGUGUUAGUGUUAGUGUUUGGUGUAGAAUGUUAGUGUUUGGUGGACAGUGUUAGUGUUAGUAUUUAUUGGACAGUGUUAGUGUUUGGUGUACAAUAUUAGUGUUUGUUGGACAUUGUUAGUGUUUGGUGUACAAUGUUAAUGUUGGUUGGACAGUGUUAGUGUUAGUGUUUGGUGGUCAGUGUUAGUGUUUGGUGUAGAAUGUUAGUGUUUGGUGGACAAUGUUAGUGUUAGUGUUUGGUGGACAAUGUUAGUGUUUGGUGGACAGUGUUAGUGUUAGUGUUUGGUGGUCAGUGUUAGUGUUAGUGUUUGGUGGACAAUGUUAGUGUUUGGUGGACAGUGUUAGUGUUAGUAUUUAUUGGACAGUGUUAGUGUUUGGUGUACAAUGUUAGUGUUUGUUGGACAGUGUUAGUGUUUGGUGUACAAUGUUAGUGUUUAUUGGACAUUGUUAGUGUUUGGUGUACAAUGUUAGUGUUUGUUGGACGGUGUUAGUAUUUGUUUUACAGUGUUAGUGUUUAUUGGACAGUGUUAGUGUUAGUGUUUGUUGGACAGUGUUAGUGUUUGUUGGAUGAUGUUAGUGUUAGUGUUUGGUGCACAGUGUUGAUGUGUAACCUCACUGUGCCAAUACAAACAUCUUCAAUAAAGUUGACUGAGAUCAGAGAAUACAGCGCGAGAACUUGGGGACCACUUCAAAAGGGAUGCCAAUAAUUAUGGCACAGACAGUAACUAUUUCAGGUCCUUAUCACGGUAUAAGGUCAAGUCGAUAAUGUUUACUGUCACUGACUUUAUCAACAACGAUUCUCCAGUACAGUAGAGCGAUAUGAAAAAUCAGACAUGUGAAAUCUCUCAUUAAUCACAGCGUGUUAAGUAUUUCUAUACACAACCAUAGUGUCAUUUCUGUUUGUGUGUGUGUGUGUGUGUGUGUGUGUGUCCCGGCUAAUGUUAAGUAAAUAUAUGAGACGUACGCAGCGUAUGAGGUCAAUAGAAACUGGAGACGCUGUCUCAUUAAGCACGUCAGAGCCACAGAGCGGACGUUCCUGACUUCAUUCAUUCGUUUCGCUCCUAAUUGCGAACUUAAUUUUCCGACUCUAUUGAUUUUUUUUCUUUUUUUUUGCCUCCUCUCCGUCUGUUCAUUUUCCUAAUGAAACGCUUCAGAGCAAUUUGGUGCCAACUAAGUAAAUGGAGCUUUAAUUUGAGGGGUGGCUGCAGGAAGCAGAUCUUUCAGCCCCGUGUCCUUCCGCACAUUGUGAAUGCCUAAUACACACACACACACACACACACACACACACACACACACUCUCUGUUGUCAUGUCAAACACUGCUCUGGUUUGGGUGUUUAGAAGAGAAGAAGAUUGUGGUUUGUUGAAGACAUCAGUGUUUGGUGGUGAAUAUUGAUGUUUGGUGUAGAAUUGUAAUUGUAGCUUGGUGUAGAAUGUUGGUGUUUAUUAGAAAAGAUUGUGGUUUGGAAAAUGUUUAUGUUUGCUGGAGAUGUUUGUGGUUUGGUGGAGAAGACUGUUUUAUGAGAACAAUGGUGUUUGGUGGAGAAGAUUGUGGUCUGUUGUAGAAGGUUAGUGGUUGGUGGAGAACAUAAGUGUUUGGUGGAGAAUGUUAGUGUAGAUGAAGAUUGUGGUUUGUUGGAGAAUGCCAGUGUUUGGUGGAGAAAGUUGUGGUUUGUUUGAGAAGAUUGUGGUUUGUUGGAGAAUGCCAGUGUUUGGUGGAGAAAGUUGUGGUUUGUUUGAGAAGAUUGUGGUUUGUUGGAGAUUGUGGUUUGUUGGAGAUUGUGGUUUGUUGGAGGAGAUUGUGGUUUGUUGGAGGAGAUUGUGGUUUGUUGGAGAUUGUGGUUUGUUGGAGAUUGUGGUUUGUUGGAGGAGAUUGUGGUUUGUUGGAGAUUGUGGUUUGUUGGAGAUUGUGGUUUGUUGGAGGAGAUUGUGGUUUGUUGGAGGAGAUUGUGGUUUGUUGGAGAUUGUGGUUUGUUGGAGGAGAUUGUGGUUUGUUGGAGGAGAUUGUGGUUUGUUGGAGAUUGUGGUUUGUUGGAGAUUGUGGUUUGUUGGAGGAGAUUGUGGUUUGUUGGAGGAGAUUGUGGUUUGUUGGAGAUUGUGGUUUGUUGGAGAUUGUGGUUUGUUGGAGAUUGUGGUUUGUUGGAGGAGAUUGUGGUUUGUUGGAGAUUGUGGUUUGUUGGAGAUUGUGGUUUGUUGGAGAUUGUGGUUUGUUGGAGAUUGUGGUUUGUUGGAGGAGAUUGUGGUUUGUUGGAGGAGAUUGUGGUUUGUUGGAGAUUGUGGUUUGUUGGAGAUUGCGGUUUGUUGGAGGAGAUUGUGGUUUGUUUGAGAAGAUUGUGGUUUGUUGGAGAUUGUGGUUUGUUGGAGAUUAUUGUGGCGUGUUUAAGAUUGUGGUUUGUUUGAUAAGAUUGUGGUUUGUUGGAGAUUGUGGUUUGUUGGAGAUUGUGGUUUGUUGGAGGAGAUUGUGGUUUGUUGGAGGAGAUUGUGGUUUGUUGGAGGAGAUUGUGGUUUGUUGGAGAUUAUUGUGGUUUGUUGGUGGAGAUUGUGGCUUGUUUAAGAUUGUGGUUUGUUGAUAAGAUUGUGGUUUGUUGGAGGAGAUUGUGGUUUGUUGGAGGAGAUUGUAGUUUGUUUGAGAAGAUUGUGGUUUGUUGGAGGAGAUUGUAGUUUGUUUGAGAAGAUUGUGGUUUGUUUGAGGAGAUUGUAGUUUGUUUGAGAAGAUUGUGGUUUGUUGGAGGAGAUUGUGGUUUGUUGGAGGAGAUUGUGGUUUGUUGGAGAAGAUUGUGGUUUGUUGGAGAAGUCGGUGUUUGUUGGAGAAGAUUGUGGUUUGUUGGAGAAGUCGGUGUUUGUUGGAGAAGAUUGCCUUGUUUGUAGAUAUUUGGGGUUUAGAAGAAGGAGCUAUUUCAGAUUUGUGUCCUUCUGCAUUUUGUGAAUGCAGCACACAUACUGUAUACACACACACACACACACACACACACACACACACACACACACAACUCUCAGGGAUUAGUCUGUUAAACCAAGCUUUCUUAUUGAGAUUAGGUCAUUAAUUUCGCCCCUUACAUAUGAAAAUAUUGACAGUUCCCAUGCACCCUGCCGUUUGGGUUUCUGACCGGCCGCGUCGCUCGCUGAGAUAAAUCCUGACCCGUGUGUGGUGCUCGAUACUCCGUAGACUGAUCCAUCCCAGAAACUGAUAAACAAGCAAUAUAUUAGCUUGAUAUGUUAUCACCAGAGGAGGUUUAUCGAUUAGCCUGGUGAGAAACUGUCCAGACGGGAUGAGUGACGGGACAUGUGAGGACACCGGGUUAGGUAGUUGAGACAUGCGGGAUAUUUUUGGGAAGACAUCAGCAUGACGUCCCGUCUCUUACUAACCCUCCAGACUCGAAACAAGUCAUUUCCAAAAAACGGGGUUUGCGUUACGAAGAAAAAGUUUUUCCAAAGAAAAUCAUAGUCACAGUUUUUCUCCUACCCCGAGAAACAGGAGUCUCGUCUCAGUGACGAUGAGUAACGAGAGAGAGAAGGAGGGAGAGAGGGAGGGGUGUGUGUGUGUGUGUGUGUGUGUGUGUGUGUGAGGGGGGGUGCUCUUUUCAAAAAGUCAUCUGUUCUUCGUUUGUCCGGAGCUUGGGAACAGAAUAUCAGGAAGCGCUCCGGUUGUGGCGGAAGAUGAAAAGAGGAGAGGAAUGAAUAAAAAAACACGUGUCGCACAUGUACUGUGGCAGACUGCAUAUGUCCUGUGAAUGUCUGAACAGGCCUGAGAGACACAGCAGCCAACACACACACACACACACACACACACACAAACACACACACACACACACACAAUUCCUAGCACAGAAAAACUAGUGACAAAACUUAGAUAUAUAUUAUCACCACAUUCAGACAAAACUCCAUUUGUGACUAAUAACACUUAGCGGACCGUACCAUUUCACCUCCUUAUAACUCAUCAGUGUUGGGUAAGUUACUCAAAAAAAUACAUCCACUACAGAUUACUAAUUACUUUCAAAACCAUCAAACCUACAGAAUACACUACAAACUCAAACUCAGAGAUCUUUCAGUAAGGUUAGCGUCAGUGUACGACACGAUCAGAAAAAGUCUGAUUUAUAAUAGACCCUUCCUCGGGCGUGUCGCUGUGUGUAGAAUACCAGAGCGCUAAAAUAUGAAACUUUUCGAACUAGGCUAGUUUGGUGUCUCUAGCCGAGAGGAGACACGGCUAAGCUAUCACUGUAUGUGUUUAGCUGCUACAGAGUCAUGUAGAGUUCAUUAUCUUUCCUUCUGCUCUGCUCAGAUCAUCUUCACGUGAACUGGAACUCAUAUAGACGUUCACACGCCUUGUUCUCCUGCUCAGCAUCAGAGGAUGUUUCUGUUUCUGUUUCAACUCCUUUACUGCUUUAAAAAUAAUAAUAAAUCUGCGUUUAUCCAUUUUUCCUCACACUGACUGUGAGCUAGCGUUCGGCAGAAUCGAGAGACCGUCAGCCAAUAAGACGCGAGAAUUUCCACGCAUGUUCCUGUAAACGCUGUCUGAUCGGUCUCGCCUCCGUUCACUGAAGAUAUAACAUUACAUCACCGCCGUCUUCUUUUACUGACGUUCAGUUACGCAGUGACGAACCGCUCCGAGCGGAGAAUUAUUCAGGGAUAAAGAAAACAUCUUCAGGGCAAAACCUGAUUUAUUUUAAAAAUGCAUUUUAUUUCAUAUUGUUUUCUUAACAAUGAAUUUGAAAUGGAAGUAAACGUUGUUUUAUUGGCAUCAGUAAGUGUAAUUAAAUUACAUCCAUUUAAAAUAUAAUGUGUUACUGCGUUAUCAGAAAAAGUCAUUAGAUUACAGUAACACGUUACUUUGUGUUGUGGCUUUGUCACAUUACCACAGUUACUAUAUCGUUGUUGCGUUGUCUCUUUGUCACUAUCAGUUUGUCACUUCCUUGUUGUUGCUGCAGUUUAAUGUUGUUUCCGUGUCACUGCUGCUUUCUCAUUUCGCUGUCAUGUUGUCAUUGUCAUUUUGUCUUUAUCUCUUUGUCGUUGUCAUUUUGUCUCUGUCAUUUUGUCGUUGUCAUUUUGUCUCUGUCAUUUUGGCGCUGUCAUUUUGACGCUGUCAUUUUGACGCUGUCAUUGUGGCGCUGUCUCUUUGUCAUUGUCAUUUUGUUGCUGUCUCUUUGUCGCUGUCAUUUUGUCGCUGUCUCUUUGUCGCUGUCAUUUUGUCUCCUGUCUCUUUGUCACUGUCAUUUUGUCCCUCUCAUUUUGACGCUGUCAUUUUGACGUUGUCAUUUUGUCGCUGUUUCUUUGUCGCUAUCAUUUUGUUGCUGUCUCUUUGUUGCUGUCAUUGUGUCGCUGUCUCUUUGUCGCUGUCAUUUUGUCGUUGUCAUUUUGUCGCUGUCUCUUUGUUGCUGUCAUUUUGUCAUUGUCAUUUUGUCGCUGUCUCUUUGUUGCUGUCAUUUUGUUGCUGUCACUGUAAUGCUGUCAUUGUGUAGCUGUCAUUUUGUCGCUGUCUCUUCGUUGCUGUUCACUGGUUUCUCACUGUUGCUUCUUUGCUGUGUCACUGUCACUUUGUUGAUGUCACUUUGUCACGCUUUGCGGCAGUGUCGUUGUCGUUGGAACACUGUCGCUUUGUUGCUGGUGCGUUGUCGCUUUCUCACUUUCUCGCUGUUGUUUUGUUAUUUUCUCACUAAAACUGUGGCUCCAUGUCGCACGCGUACAAGAACAGUCCCAUUCACUUUGUCACUUCCCAAUCUGAAUGCAAGAUAAAACUCUACUAAGCGACUUCUUUUACCUCUGAUCCACCAUCAAAAGCAAUAUCAGGUAUCAUUUAGUCAAGCAUGUCGAUGGCUCUCUCUCUCUCUCUCUCUCUCUCUCUCUCUCUCUCUCUCUAUGUCUCUCUCUCUUUUUGCUUGGUGAACGACGCUAACGAACACUCAGGUAGCACUUCCAUUAUGCAGAGGAGCCACUUAACACAUCCCACACCUCAUUAACGGUAAUAAGUGGCGUUUGCCACCUCCUUUGUCAGCAGGGUAAGCAAUCAAUAGGGUCAUUUCACAUCAUAACAGCUACUGGUGCACAUUACUAUCUUGUUCAUGGCGGGAACGGCGGUCAUUAAGGCCUGGAGCAGAUUAUAUAGGAGGGAGAAGACAGAUGGAGAGAAUUACGCCGAGCUAAGAGACGGAUCAAUAUGUGGAUAGCUGUGGAGAUAAUUCCACAGCCGGGAGACUUUCGGCUCAGCCAUAUUACAGCUCCUGUGCUGCUCUUUUGUGUUUGUGUAUGCUAAUGCGUGUGUGUGUGUGCGUGUGUGUGUGUGCGUGUGUGUGGCCCGCGUGCCCCCGCUGUGUCGUGUCAGUGCAUUUUCACACACUCACUCGUCGCUGAACAAGCCUGAUGAGGGCUAAUUACAGCACAGCGUCGGCCCGAACAGACGCACAUGCGCCUUUAAUUACAGGAAACAACGGCGUUAAUAUUUUAUGGAAAUGCACCUCGGCACGGAACCCCGGAGUGUGUGACAUUGAGAGUCAGGAAGAGACAUUUACUGUUCACACACACACACACACACACACACACACACACACACACACACACACACACACGGUUAGAAAAGAAAACCCAGUAAACACGACUCUGUCUUCAGACGCGAACCUGAUCAAAUCAAUUUGAGAAUAAAACUAACCCAAAAAAAAGGUUUCCCUAACAAUCCUUCUCCACUAAUCCCAUGUUCCAGAUGUUUCACUGCUGAUCGUGUUUUGCUAGCCUUGCUACACGAAAGGAAACUCCUCAGAUCAGCGGCUCUACUUUACGACACAACUCCAUAACCUGUCUGAUUACACACCUUCAUAUACGUAUCUCUGCUAACCGCUAUCAGUUGGAUUAGCGCCCAGCGCUAGCAGCUACAUUAGCCCUUAAUGGUAAGACGAUCACUGUGUGAUGUCUGAGUAGAUCCAGGGCACUAAUUAGGCGCCCUACAGUAAGGCUAAGAGGGACAAGGCGCGUACUUAAAGCUCUUUGAUAUCCGCUCGGCUAUUAAAUAUAGAUGUGCAGAAAAUCAUUACAGGCAUUGGGAUUAAUUUAAUUAGCUGUGAAAAAAACAUACUGCUAACGUAGGGAUAGGGUUUGGGAUGGGUGUGUGUGUGUGUGUGUGUGAGUGAGUGAUAAUCUGGUUGACUCGUGGCGACGCGCAAACAAGAUUUAGCUCCUCAAAGCAAACAGACGCGGUGGGGAAACAGCGCGAGGGCCAGAGCAGGAGCAGGACGAGCCAGAUGAAUUAUUCACACGCUUACACUUACACUUUCACACACACACACACACACACACACACACACACACACAGUAUCCAAACAGAAACUCUCUAGCUAGAGUCUCAAACUGAGUUUCGCCGCAUUCUUCUCCUCUCUCUUCAUGGGUAGAAACACACAAUCUCUCUCUCGCUCUCUCUCACACACACACACACACACACACACACACACACGCACACACACACAGUGCCCAUCCCCCGCCCCGUUCUCCAUCUCUAUCCAUCAGCAUGAAGGGCCGUGUGGACAGACGCAGGAGCUUUAUUGAGUUUAUGGGCGAUUGAGUGCUUAGCCCGUGACCCCGUUUGACCCCUGUCAUAUUUAUGGCUUUUUGAGAAAGUGUAGAGCGAUUUGGGAUACAGUAUGCUGCCCUUUACUCCCACACACACACACACACACACACACACACACACACACACCCUCAGGGUCAUGUGCUUUAUUCCUACAUUUCACACUUCCCUGAGUUCAGUUCAUCUUGUUUCUCCAUCACACCACGUUCACUCUGGCAGGGGACGAGUCUCUCUUUUAGUCAGUAGCAAUAUAUUUAUCUUCUAAUGCUAACUAGCUUCGUUCUCAGAUCAGAUUAGCAAACCAAGCCAACUGUACUAGGUACAUACAGUCACAAAACAUACAGACGAUCUCUGCUACUUCCGAGCUUUAUUUCUCUUCAUAAACGUCUCUGUACGCGUUCAAUACGACAGGAGAAGAUGAAACCACGCCGAUAGGGUUUUCUUCCAGAUUUUAUUUUACAACUAAAGUUGUGAGUGGGGAAACAUCGCGGCACGCGCACGGACCGAGGAAACUUUCAGGACAAUGAGUUGCACCGAAUGUACACAGAAUUUGAAAAAUUCUCAUCGUGAGUGAAUGCUAGUGUCAAUGAAAUCACUUGAAAUGUAAAUGUGGGCGGGGACAAUUAUUAACCAAUAUGAACGAAUUAUUAACCAAUCAGAUCAUGUUACGUUUCUUCGUUGCUACAUUUAACCCGUCCGUUACGUCUACUCUGACAGCUCUCGACCGAUCAGAAGACACGUUCUUGGACUUUUCUUGGAAGUGAAAAACCGAUCGCUAAUAACGAGCGAGUAGUUCUGCGCUCUGAUUGGACAAGAGCGAAAACAAUUAGCACAGUUGACUGUCGUACCGAUCUGCUGAGCCUUUCAGUACAGCAGUGUGUGGUUUGAGACGGGGCUGGGUUUACUGAGGAAACGGCACACACACACACACACACACACACACACGCACACACACACACACACACACACACACACACGCACUUAAUACUCGGUCUCCACCCCGAGCACACGACUCACACAAGCGUGCCACUCUCCACAUAAACACACACUUCCUGCUCCAAACACACCCAGCUCUCUGGAGAACGGCGACGUGUGGACCGCAAGCUUCAGGAAAUGGUUCGCUCCAACUGGGACACAAAAUGAGGCGCGACAGCUCCCGGAAAAUGUCUGAGUGCCCUACCUAGGGCUGUUUACGUUCCCUCUGAAAUCAAACGCGAAGCCGACGGAGGCUUUUUAUCCAACACGCUUUAACACCGAGACCAAGGUUAGCUGUGUGAGAAAGCAAAAUAUCAUUUAUUAUAACAGUUUACAGAAUGGAGGCAAUCACACACACACACACACACGCAC